GAUGAACGCUAGCUACAGGCUUAACACAUGCAAGUCGAGGGGCAGCAUGGUCUUAGCUUGCUAAGGCCGAUGGCGACCGGCGCACGGGUGAGUAACACGUAUCCAACCUGCCGUCUACUCUUGGACAGCCUUCUGAAAGGAAGAUUAAUACAAGAUGGCAUCAUGAGUCCGCAUGUUCACAUGAUUAAAGGUAUUCCGGUAGACGAUGGGGAUGCGUUCCAUUAGAUAGUAGGCGGGGUAACGGCCCACCUAGUCUUCGAUGGAUAGGGGUUCUGAGAGGAAGGUCCCCCACAUUGGAACUGAGACACGGUCCAAACUCCUACGGGAGGCAGCAGUGAGGAAUAUUGGUCAAUGGGCGAGAGCCUGAACCAGCCAAGUAGCGUGAAGGAUGACUGCCCUAUGGGUUGUAAACUUCUUUUAUAAAGGAAUAAAGUCGGGUAUGGAUACCCGUUUGCAUGUACUUUAUGAAUAAGGAUCGGCUAACUCCGUGCCAGCAGCCGCGGUAAUACGGAGGAUCCGAGCGUUAUCCGGAUUUAUUGGGUUUAAAGGGAGCGUAGAUGGAUGUUUAAGUCAGUUGUGAAAGUUUGCGGCUCAACCGUAAAAUUGCAGUUGAUACUGGAUAUCUUGAGUGCAGUUGAGGCAGGCGGAAUUCGUGGUGUAGCGGUGAAAUGCUUAGAUAUCACGAAGAACUCCGAUUGCGAAGGCAGCCUGCUAAGCUGCAACUGACAUUGAGGCUCGAAAGUGUGGGUAUCAAACAGGAUUAGAUACCCUGGUAGUCCACACGGUAAACGAUGAAUACUCGCUGUUUGCGAUAUACGGCAAGCGGCCAAGCGAAAGCGUUAAGUAUUCCACCCGGGGAGUACGCCGGCAACGGUGAAACUCAAAGGAAUUGACGGGGGCCCGCACAAGCGGAGGAACAUGUGGUUUAAUUCGAUGAUACGCGAGGAACCUUACCCGGGCUUAAAUUGCAGAUGAAUUACGGUGAAAGCCGUAAGCCGCAAGGCAUCUGUGAAGGUGCUGCAUGGUUGUCGUCAGCUCGUGCCGUGAGGUGUCGGCUUAAGUGCCAUAACGAGCGCAACCCUUGUUGUCAGUUACUAACAGGUUCUGCUGAGGACUCUGACAAGACUGCCAUCGUAAGAUGUGAGGAAGGUGGGGAUGACGUCAAAUCAGCACGGCCCUUACGUCCGGGGCUACACACGUGUUACAAUGGGGGGUACAGAGGGCCGCUACCACGCGAGUGGAUGCCAAUCCCCAAAACCUCUCUCAGUUCGGACUGGAGUCUGCAACCCGACUCCACGAAGCUGGAUUCGCUAGUAAUCGCGCAUCAGCCACGGCGCGGUGAAUACGUUCCCGGGCCUUGUACACACCGCCCGUCAAGCCAUGGGAGCCGGGGGUACCUGAAGUGCGUAACCGCGAGGAGCGCCCUAGGGUAAAACUGGUGACUGGGGCUAAG
rnacentral:rRNA from 1 species